rnacentral:rRNA from 1 species
UACCAGCACCCCGAGUGGUCGGGACGUUUAUUGGGCGUAAAGCGUCCGCAGGUGGUUUUUCAAGUCUGCUGUUAAAGCGCGAGGCUUAACUUCGUACAGGCAGUGGAAACUGGAAGACUUGAGUAUGGUAGGGGUAGCGGGAAUUCCCAGUGUAGCGGUGAAAUGCGUAGAUAUUGGGAAGAACACCAGCGGCGAAAGCGCGCUACUGGGCCAUUACUGACACUCAUGGACGAAAGCUAGGGGAGCGAAAGGG